rnacentral:lncRNA from 1 species
GAAUACCUGUAUGACUGUCCAGUGAAUUAAGAUGCCAGUAGCAGAGGGAAAUAUUAUAUUCCUUCACAACCUGUGCAUGUAAAGGCCUCUUGGAAAACCUGUAGGUGGCCCAUACUUGGAUGUCUGCUGAUGUCUCGGUAUGUUUAUUGUUACUGUAAUGAUGCACUUCCACUGCCUGGCACCUGUGGGCAAACAUUUUUUGGAAGCCAUCCCCAUCUCCAUUUUGCACCAUGCUUCCAUAUUCACUGUCUGUACUGACAGGAAAUCCCUUUCCGAAGGCAGCUUUGAAAUGCCCCAAUGCAGAAUGUAGUGGUGUUCUUGUGAAUGUGCUUGCGAAAAGAAAUACAGUGGGCAGUGAAUUAAUAAUAUAGAUUUAUUUUACUUUAAAAGUAGUUACAAACAGAGAAGAGCAGCAUGCAGGAUAGUGUGCAGCAUGGCAUGAAGCUGAAAUUAAAUGUUUUUGCUGCAGGAAUUAUUAGUCUAGUGUGUGAGGUGGCCACUAAUAACUGGUGUUGCUGUUGCUAGGAGCUAUCAAAAGAAAUGUCACUCCUCACAGCAAGUGAUGAAAUUUGACAUAUGGCAUCAAAGGAUCAUUAAAACUACACCUGCUGCAGAGGAGGCUGUGUCUUUUGAGAGACUUUCAAGCAGAAAAGGUUAUUUCAAGAAUGUAAAAGGGUUUUCAGUGGAAUCCCUUUCGAAGAGAAUCAGAGAAGAUCUACGAAUACUGUCCAUUUGUUCCAAAAAUCUCAACCACGUCACAAAAUUGCAGCUUUUCCACCAUUCCUGUAUAAACAUGUAAAGACUCUGAUGCAAAUAGGGAGAUAAUUUUAUUCUAACUUUAGAAGAUAAUGGAGUUUUACAUCCUGGUUUCAUCAGGUCCAAGUGUGUUUUAGUUUUACAGGUAUAUUAGCAAAGACAGCAAUCAGAUUAAGGACAGCCAAUUAAUAUUAAUGCCAGGUAAUAAUCAGGUUUCAUUUUAUAUUUCAAUCAAUUUCUAUUUCAUAUUAUAUAAAAUUUCCUUGAAACAAUUCCUUGUGUUGCUUUAGAGUGUCUGUCUUGAAUCUUGGGUAUCACUGUUAUCCAACAGAAAUGUCUUUAGGAAGGAAUUGUUCUUCUGGACACUUCAAUACGUUCUCUCUAUGUGGUGUCACUCAAAUGUCACUCAGAGAUUACAAAAGCUGACAAACAUAUGUGAACCCACAG